rnacentral:lncRNA from 1 species
GCCGACUUUUCCGGAAGAUCCGGAUAGUGCAUCCCGGCCACGGCGCGCCUGCUCUGGGCUCUCCGCGUGCCGCGUCGCUUUCUUUUCUUCCUCUGGAGCAGUUAUGGCGGCGGCGAAGACCCUGAACCCCAAGGCCAAGGUGGCCGGAGCGCAGGCGGCGCUGGCGUUCAACAUUAGCGGGGCGCGGGGUCUGCAGGACGUGCUGAGGACCAACCUGGGGCCCAAAGGGACCAUAAAGAUGGCCUUCAUCCCAGAAUAAUCACUGAAGGAUUUGAAGCUGUGAAGGAAAAGCCCUUCAUUUUUUGGAAGAAGUCAAAGUAAGCAGAGAGAUGGACAAGGAAACACUUAAAGAUGUGGCCAGGGCAUCUCUUUGUACUAAAGUUCAUGCUGAACUUGCAGAUGUCUUAACAGAGGCUGUAGUGGGCUCCAUUUUGGCCAUUAAAAGAAAAGAUGAACCUAUUGAUCUCUUCAUGAUUUUGUGAUCAUUGACAAGAAACAUAAAUCUGAAACUGAUACAAGAGAAGUGAAUUCUGGCGUUUUUUACAAGAGUGCAGAAAGAGAAAAACUCAUAAAAGCUGAAAGAAAAUUCAUUGAAGAUAGAGUUAAAACAAAUAAUAGAACUGAAAAGGAAAGUCUGUAGUAAUUCAGAUAAAGGAUUUGUUAUUAAUCAAAAGGGAAUUGACCCCUUUUCCUUAGAUGCUCUUUCAAAGAAGGCAUAGUCGCUCUUCACAGAGCUAAAAGGAGGAAUAUGGAGAGGCUGACUCUUGCUUGUGGUGGGGUGGCCCUGAAUUCUUUUGAGGACCUAAGUCCUGACUGCUUGAGACAUGCAGGACUUGUAUAUGAGUAUACAUUGGGAGAAGUUCACCUUUAUUGAGAAGUGUAACAACCCUCGUUCUGUCACAUUAUUGAUCAAAGGACCAAAUAAGCCCACACUUAGAUCAAAGAUGCAGUAAGGGAUGGCUUGAGGGCUGUCAAAAAUGCUAUUGAUGAUGGCUGUGUGGUUCCGGUGCUGGUGCCGUGGAAGUGGCAAUGGCAGAAGCCCUGAAUAAAUAUAAGCUCAGUGUAAAGGGCAAGGCACAGCUUGGAGUCCAAGCAUUUGCUGAUGUGUUGCUCGUUAUUCCCAAGGUGAGCCCGUGGUAGCAGCAGAAGCAGGCAUUAUGGGAUAACGAUUGUGUAAAGAAACAGCUUCUUCAUUCCUGCACUGGUUGCCACCAACAUUCUCUUGGUUGAUGAGAUCAUGCGAGCUGGAAUCUUCUCUGAAAGGUUGAAUUGAAGCUUCCUCUGUAUCUGAGUCUUGAAGACUCUGCAAAGUGAUCCUGAAGAAUACAGCUGUGGAAUUUUUGUCCAAGCUUCAAAUGAGUUUCAAGGGAAUUUUCCCAUGUGAAAAAAGGAGAGAACACUGGCAUCUGUUGAAAUUCGGAAGUUCUGAAAUUAUAAUCACAGUAUUUUUUAAAAAUUGCACUGAAGUGUACACAGAUAAAGCAGGUCUUUCACCCAGUGAACAGGAUGUUUUGCUUUAGCAGCAGUGACAUAAAAUUCCAUGUUAAAUAAGCAUAUAUUACCUACCUUAUUAAAUAUUCCUUGAAAAAGCAGAUUUUAAUGGUUUAAUUUUAUGUGGACAUAUGUUAAAUUAUUCAGCAGUACCCUAUUGUUAAGCAUCUGGUUUUAAAAUUUUUAUGCUAAUAUAAAUAACGCUUAGUAAUUUAAAAUUUUGGAAGCAUCCCGUUAGUGUAAAUUUCUGAGUAAAUUUAUUGAUCAGUUGGACUUUUCACGCUUUUGAAAUAGCUUUGCUAAAAUGCUCCCCCUACAAAGUUGUAGGAAAUGGGAAGAGGAGUAAACUAGAGGCAAGGGAGUUGAGAGAGCUGGAAGGCAUGGUGGCUAAGGGCUACGGUUAUCAGGUGAAAUUUGAGAUUUGUAGGCUGACUAUAUUUUCAAGCUUCUGAACUUUUGCUUAUGCAAAAUAUUCAUCCCAAAGCCUCUAGCGUCAUAGUUUCCUCACCCAAAUUACUAUGUUUCCACAAGAUUUAUAUAGUUGGUCUAUCUCUGCGGUCCUUGAAAGUGAAGUUGGUGUUACUAGGCUGUGGGUUUUGGGGGCUCAGCAGUGACCUGGAGUGUGCAAAUAAAUGUUAAGUUGAAACCUCCUU